rnacentral:lncRNA from 1 species
UCAGGCGAGUCCGACGAGCUUCUCGCUGAUCUCCCAGAGCUUCCUCGCCUUCUCCGGGUCGCUGGCCUCCUGCGAGAGCUGGUUCUCGAACGACGCCGAGUCCUUGUUCCAGCUCCAGUACACCCCCGACUUGGUGAGGCUGGGGUCGCUGACCACCUGCGCCAGCCUCUUGCCGGACUCCGCCUCCGAGACGAACCCCUUGGUGAUGAACUUCUGGAACGGCGGGAAGAGCAGGCGGAAGAGCGGGAUGUGCUCGCGGAACAGCCCCGUGGUGGCGAUGCACCCCGGGUAGAGCGACGCGAAGGUGAUACCCGUCUCCUCGUGGUAGCGGCGGUGGAGCUCCUGCAUGGUGAGCAUGUUGCAGAUCUUGCUGUCCUUGUACGCCUUGGCGCCGUCGAAGCUCUCGGAGCCGUCGAUCAUGGCGGACCCGUUCUGGCCGCGCAGGCCGCCGGCGAGCCCCCGGAGGUCGCCCAGCCCAGCCUUGGGCGGGAUGUUCCCGGCCAGCGUGUUGGUGUUGCCGGUGAUGGAGCCGAGGAUGAUGAGGCGGCGCGACGGGUAGUCGGACUUCUGGAGGUCGUCGAGGAGCAGGCGCGCGAGGAGGAAGUGGCCCAGGUGGUUGACGCCCACGCUCAUCUCGUACCCGUCGGCGGUGAACGUCGGCGUCCGCGCCGUCGGGCGGUAGAUGGCGGCGUUGCAGACGAGGGAGUCGAGCGGCAUCCCGGCGCGGCGGAAGUUGUCGACGAACUGGCGGACGCUGUCGAGGGAAGCGAGGUCGAGGUGCAUGAUGGUGUAGCUGCCCUCCGCCAUGCCCGCGCCCUUGGCGGCCUUGGCCGUCUUGAGGAAGUCGCGGCAGGCCAUGACGACGUGCCACUUGCCCGUCUCCGCCAGCGCCUUGGCCGCGGCCAGGCCGAGCCCCGACGACGCGCCCGUGAUCACCACCACGCCCUGGCGCAGCGUCUUCUUGCCGUCCUUGGUCGCCGUGCUGGCACCCGGGGUGGCCACGGGCGCCGUCGCCACCGCCUGCGCCCUCACCGAAAGCGACGGCACCUGCAGCAGCUUCUGCACACGCACCAAAUUUUAACAUCACUUAAAUUUCAACAGCUAAUCGAUCGAGCAUUGUGUUGAUGUGCAAUGCAGCAGGUGCUGACCUUCUGGGGAACGCUGAGGAAAGCCGCCGUGUCCUUGACGACGGCGGCGAGGUUGCCCUUCUUGGGGACGGAGAGAGUGGAAGGGAGGAGGGCAGCCUGCAGAGCCAUGGCGGAGUUUGGAGCGUAGCUAAGCUGAGUUCAGCUGAGCGACAGCGAGACGCGCUGUUGUUUGCGGCGCGGUGACUGUGCUCGGAGGUGGUGACUGGUGAGCUCGCCGGCGGCGGGUAUUUAUACGCGGCCCGAGGAGCGAGGAGCGCCACGGAGAUAGGAUAAGGGGGUGGGCCCGGCCGCCACGGUGGAGCUUCCCCAGCCAAUCGCAGCGCGUGGCCCGGAUUUUCUUGGACGAUAUUUUCCCGCGGGAUAUUUAAAAAAAUAUAUAUUCCCGCGGGAUAUUGUUUGCGAGAGCGACAGCGUGGGGGAUAUUUUUGUUUGCCUCCGGUCACCACAGGCGACGGCGACGUCGCGGGAUCUUCUGCGCGGACGCUGCGCUCUUGGAGAUGGGGAUGGUGUUUGGGGCCGGAGCAGCGGAUCGAAAUGUGCAAUGAUGCAGCAUGGGGGAGGAGCGGCUGCCGGUGCACGGGAUCAGCUGCCCGGAUCUGUUGUUUUGCACGGGCCGUGACGAGCGUUCGGUCGUCGGAUGAGCCCACGUGAGCGUGCGGCAAACGAGUGGAUGCGGGGCGUGACACGUAGGAGAGGCCCAUUGGGGCUCGGGAUGAUGUGGCGUCCAACGUGGACGAUGGUCCUUACGCUUUCACCUCAGCCAGUGGCAGGUAUAAAACUGCACAAAGGUAACAAAAGAAUUUGUAGAGAGGUUUUUUUUUGCUUCUUUUUUGUUUUUCUUUGGGCGCAAUGUGCAUUUCUCACGCAGCCGUCGAUGAUAAAAUUUUACGGGAAAUGGCAGCAUCUCUAUUACGCUGUAUUUCAUAGCUUGGCCAGCUGAUUGUUCUUUGUUGAAACUAUUCUCUCAACACUUGCACUAUAAUAAUAGUUGAACUAUAUACUAUAGUGUCAUUAAUUUCUAGAAUAUAUCUAGAACAAUGCAGGCUAGUGCUCCAUUCUAAGAGGGUUCUUCUUCAUCUCUUGUAUCUAUGACCAAAAACAUGUAUAGGAAAGAUUGAGCUCCGUGUUGGUGGGUUGGGUGGGGUGUUGCCGUACCGAAGCCCGCGAGCCCCACCCUUUACCGGUUGCCCUGCACGGCAUGAGCCGUAAGCUAAGAUCGGGUAAGUUUCACGUGCUGCAUGAUCAGAUUUAUUGUCACAGUAUUCAUCAGAUUUAUUGUCAGCUACAACGCUGACAUGGCAGUCCAAUGCAAGGAGGUUGUCUGGACAUUCACUGUGUCUGGUUUCACAGCGCAUGUAGUUAUUUCUUUUAGCUUAACAUGAUGGUUUAGGACAUUGGACCAUUGCUGAGGUUCGUGGCCAUAAGGAAUAACAUGGGUGCAUGCCCCCCCAGUCUUAAAAGCCCAAUGAUACAGUACGUAUGCUCACCCUUAUUAAUGAUUUGGCUUGUUUGAGCUUCAUGUCACGUCUGCAAUUUGUAGCAUACAAUAAAAUAUAGUUCAAAUGUUUAUAUUUAACCUAAACUAUAAAUUAAAUUAUUCAUUUAAAUGCUCUUAACAUACCUCCAAUUUCAAAUCCAGGAGGAUUUCUUUGAGCUGCCAAUACCAAGUUUCAAGAAAUCUAUAUGGCUUGAAGAAGUCUACAGAUUUCCAGGAGCAUUGUCGUCAAAUAGGGUCAAUGUUUGCUUAUGCACUGCAAACUGAGAAACAUAUCAGCAAAGUGAUUUGAAUGGGCUCGAUGCAAUCAUGUCGGUUGGUUCUCAGACGAAUUCACCGAGCGCAUGAUUGUCACAUCGCAGUGUAAUAUCAGAAGCUUUGCAAGUCUAUACAGCCUAAACUAUGUGGGACUAAGGGGGCGUUUGGUUUCCUUUACUUAUUUUUAAACAAGUGUCACAUCAAUAUUUAGAUACUAAUUAGAAGUAUUAAACGUAGGCUAUUUACAAAACCCAUACAUAAGUGGAGGCUAAACAGCGAGACGAACUUAUAAGCCNNNNNNNNNNNNNNNNNNNNNNNNNNNNNNNNNNNNNNNNNNNNNNNNNNNNNNNNNNNNNNNNNNNNNNNNNNNNNNNNNNNNNNNNNNNNNNNNNNNNAUUAGCCUAAUUAAUCCAUCAUUAGCAAAUGUUUACUGUAGCAACACAUUGUCAAAUCAUGGACUAAUUAGGCUUAAUAGAUUCGUCUCGCCGUUUAGCCUCCACUUAUGUAAUGGAUUUUGUAAAUAGUCUACGUUUAAUACUCCUAAUUAGUAUCUAAACAUUCGAUGUGACGGGUGCUUAAAAAUAAGCAAACGAAGAAUGUGCGAGCCUUCAACGAACAGUGAAUGCGCAGACAAACGGCUACGUUCAGGACUUGAGGUUCAGCACGGUGAAAGUCGGAAGUAGGGUCGAACUGUAGAACAAUCUUUCUCCACGAGAAGCAACGUUUUCUAGAACUCUCGAUUUUGGGAGGGCGUUCGCACCGUCCCUAGCAGGCAGGCAGAGAAGAGAAGAGCAGUUCCCCGUCCGUUGCAUCUCAUAGGACAACACAUCUCAGACACAUCAGCCGUCAGGACAAACUGGUUCAGGCAAAGAUUCAGCACAGGCCAGUGACUGCCAUACGUGCAGCUGGGAGCACGAAACUCCUCAUUCUUCAGCACUAAAUAUUUUUUUUUGAAACAGAUCUUCAGCACCAAAUAACAUGGCGCAAAUGCAAGCACUAGUAUUACAAUGCAUUUCAUUACAGCACACCCCAAAUAAAUACUGUACAGCUGAAAUUGUAGAUAGAGGAAGGCUGGAGGUUCCUUCACAAUUCACUAAAAAAACAAACUGAAGAAUGGAAUUCUCAAUUGGUUAUGACUUAUGAGGGCAAUCUGAAAGUUCACUUGAUGUGGAUUCUUUCUUCAUGUUGCUACUGUCUCCAAUCUUGUGCUCCAAGGUAGGCCCAUUUUCCAUCUGCAGUAGGGUGCGUUUGACAAAUCUCCCAGAACUGAUUCUCUAUUAAUUCCAGCAGGAGCUUUACCAAAUGGUUUUUCAGAGAGAAGUGAUUCUCUGCAGAUUUUCUAAAGUGAUUCUCUGAAAUGACUAAGAGGCUGGGAGCUGGGGAAAGUAGCUUCUCCUGAUUCUGUGAAUUGAUCCUCCAUCCUGAUUUCAAGAGUUUAUGCUAGAGAAUCAAAGAGAAUCACUUUCAACCACAUAAUCACUUCUCUCAGAGAAUCAACUCACAAUCAGAAUCAGAUGGAGCUCUGCCAAACAGACCCUAAAUCAUCUAUCACCAAACAUAAGAUUGUUGAUUUGAUCAAUACUAAUGUCUGAAAUGGGUUCAAUGGGCCUCUCUUCUUCCAUUGCAGGAGAAAACGUCAUGCGCUCCCGGCUGUUUUCAUCUGUGAAUUAUUAACAAGAGCAACGCUUACUACAACAACAGCAGAUUGAUGAUAUGCAAGAGCUGGGAAUGCAAAACAAUACAAUCAUCUCACCAAAGAUGGUACUGACGGAAGUCGGGGGAGGAGUGGCGACGAAGUUGAGACCCAUGUAGAUGGCCAUGGACAGCGCCACGGCCACGAUCACGAACGAUGGCACCGCCAAUGCCCAAUACCUGAACGAAAACAAGCCUGCAAUCAGCUACUGCCAAACGCAUCCAUCCGAUUUGAGCUGAUUUAUAAGUAAAGGAGGCAAUCUUAUCGCUGCCGUUCAUUUCCUAAAUACAGGUUUCGUUUAAUUUCAUCCGGAUUGCCGAUCAUUCGGUUUCUAUUCCAGUGGUGAGGAUUCAGGAAUUUGAAUGAGCAAAAACUGAAAGGACAAAAAAAAAAGGUCAUGGACAGGAGGAUGCGAAGGAUGGGUGGGUCAGAACUGAAAAGCAUUUCGUACUUGCUAGGGUAGUAGGUGAUGCCGAGGGACCGGAGAGCGGGCUCGGGCGUGUACGCCCAUGCGAGGUAGACGGCGGUGGCGAUGACGGUGGUGAUGGAUCCGACGAAGCCGUACACCUCCGACGGCUUGGGGCCGUGGUCGCGGGCGGCGAAGGAGGGGGACCUCGACGAGUUGUCCCAGUCGCGGUGCGGCCGGCGGUUUCGGAUCAGGCUGACCGUCUGCCUGGGGCUCCGCACCACCAGCGACGGCGACGUCGACGGCGGCGGCCACUCCAUCGUCUUCCUCGCCCCCUCGUCCAUCUCGGUCGGGUCCAGGAAACAGCGAAGCGGCGGCGCACGUGGUGGUUUCCUUGCUCUUCAUGGGCCAAGGCCGUCAUGAAGGAAGCUCAGAACUGAGUGUACAUGGGCCUAAUCGUGUAUGGGCCACAUGGAUCGGUGCAGCCUCAGUAUUUUCAGGCUACUUUUUUUAGAAUUAAUCAUUUUCAGACUUUGCUCGCUGCUGUCCUCAUCCCUAAUUAGAUGAUGCACAUUGUCCUCAAGAAAGAAAAAAGAUGAUGCACAUUCUCCUCUGAAGAAAAGAAGACUAAGAAGAUGCUUCUCGGCCUCAAGAUUGCGUGGGGAUGACCAUCAUCUUGGCAUCAUUACAUUCCUAUCGCAUUCGCGGUAUGUUCUUUAUUUGUUUACUUAAUUGGACGCUUAUCUGUUCAUCUUUGACCGGAAAAUAAUCAUCCUGAUCUGAUCAUACGGAGCAAGACCAGAGCUAAUCAUUCGUUCGCAACCCUGUGCGUAUUAGGUCAGUCUCAACGCACUUUCAUUGCACAGUUACCAAGGUAACUGCGACAGUAGAGUAUCAUAGGUACGAAACUUCUCUCAUAUCUGAUAAAACUCUUUUCAUAAAUAACCUUAUCAAGUUAGCAAAAUUAAUGAUACGAUAUAAAAUUGAAAUUUUUCAUGAAACUUCUCGAGACUGGCCGCAAGGUGGCGGACAGGGGACGAUCGACGACGCAGGAAUCGGAGAGACGUGCAUGUCGAGAAGUAGGAGGCGUGCGUGCACGAGCAACGACAGGCCUGAAGGCCUGAUUGCUCGCCUUGUUUAAGCGUCACUUGCGAUUUCAUUACUCACAACCUCGCUGUCAGGCGGCCGCGGAUACGCCGUCCCCUUGUGCAGGCGUCGCCGUCGCCAUCGUCAAGAAGGAUUGGUCGGUAGGGCAUUGUGUACGUAUAGUAGUAUCUCGUCACGUACGUAACAGCAACAGCAACAGCACUUGUUUUGUUUUGUAGGAAGUGAACAUUCAUUGAUCACAUUAGCUAUACUUCAGUCAACUGGAUGAUUCUCGAACCUUUUUCUUCUUCUUGAGAUCCUCCCAGUGCUGCUGCGCACUAACGUUGGUGUUUGGCUUUCACCGUGCUACAAAGUCCAGGAGUGGUUAGACUUCAGAGUCUAGGUUGGAGAUCGGUUCCGUUGAUAACUGUGGGUUUAGAGAGGGACCUCUUGGCUAGCAGGAGAGUCCUGUGUCGUGUACGCGUACUUUUUCCACAAAGAAUCUUGCUCGAAUUUCAUUACCAGAAGCAACGAUAUUACAAAGUUUAGGUUCAGAUUACACAAACAAAUUUAAACGACUGAAAUGCAACAUAUGGCCCUCUAGCUGAAGAACGAACUACACGAAACUAGAGUUUAGAAAGUAGACAUCCAUUAGUCGUGUACGUAUCCACUAGAAACCGUAACAUAUUCGUUCCAAAAAAAGAAAAAACCGUAGAAACUGUGUACUUGCAACUGGUUCGGUGGGUUGAGAGCUGGAGGAAUAUAAUGCUCCACGCCCACGGUUCUCGAGUCAAAGCGAGCUCGGUAUAGGAGAGGUUGACAGCCUUGGGCAGCCACCCGGGGGUUUCUUAGCCGAAUCGAGAGUGCUGUCAUUUUCGCUUUGUUGUUGAGUGCGGCAUCGAUCACCAGCCGCACUCCCCAUGUAGAAAGGGAAUUGAUCAACCGUGAAUUGCAUUGAUCUGUUGUGUGGUUUGUAUACACAUACAAUGCACACCAGAGCCUAACUAACUCAGCUAGAUUACAGUCCUAACUGCGAGUCUGCGACGCGCGAAGAACAAGAUCGCAUGGUAAUGUCGGAAAGUAACCCAGCAACACGUUGGAGAAGAAACUUUUUACUGCCAGUAAGCGGUAAGAAAGCUAAGGUGAACAGUGCCUGGGAGUUGAGAUCUUGGUCUGGUUUCCUAUUAGGCACAUGGUGGAGCUAGCGCAGUCGUGUGCAGGCGGCGCGCAGCGAGAAGAGAAGCCAAUCCACGUCGUCGCGUUCGAGUCGAUGACACCAACCCCAAACUGUGCCCUCCGCCCCCAGCAUUGGCCAGGCGGCGGCCGUGUGGCCCGACGGCCGCGCAGGCAGCCGACGCGGCAGCGGCCCCCACAUGUGGACGAAACCCUGCUGCCGCGGCGACAAACGCCCACCCGACGGCCGACGACGGCGACAGCGCUGCCGAGCUUUCGCGGGGCCCGGUCCUGCGUAGGAAAGGCACCGACCAUGGCCCCACCCGUGUCUUUUCUCCCCCACGCGCGCGGGGCCCAGGCUAGUCGCCGCCCCGCCCCCACCGCCGCCGACGCGACCCCGAUCGGCCUCCCCGGCCAUUUACGCCGCGUCGUAGGUGAACGUGACCGAUCCAUCUGUUGAUCCCUCGCCGCCCUGGCCUGCCCGCCGCUGUUGCGCGAGCUGGCCGAUUCGAUCCCAAAGGCGGCGCAAGGCGCCAGGGCACGGAAUAAUUGCCUUGUCGCCUUGGUGCACGCAUCACUAGCAAAGCUAGCGAUAGACAGCGGCGAGGAACUCUCUGGGCGGUCUGUUUCCUCGGCAGGCAAACCACAACUCGCCGGAGCUGGAAUGCCCGUGUGUACACGCGCGGUCGCGUGCGCCGACGACCGAUCGGCCGCCACUGGGUCCGGGCAGCCGCGUUCGUUGCUGCUCGUGGCUCGUGCCGAGCGAAUAGUAGGGACUUCUACAAUCGGGCCGCGCGGAGGCGGCGGCGUGGCGCACGGUCACCGGUCAUGCGAGGUAGCUUCACGACGAAGAAGAGCAUCUGCUGCGUCAGCCGGGGGCCCCGCCGCCGCCCACACUGGACAGUUCUUUGUGCGGCCGUCUCUCCACCGCUCCGUGCCUUUGACGAUGCUUGUCUGGUCCGCAUGGGGUGAAAAGAUAAAAAGUAAACUAAAUAUUAACGGUAUUGGAUGGUCGUUCAUGAUCCUAAUUAAUUUGAUAGAUGAGGUAAAUGUUUGUUUGAUCUCUACUAGUAUAAGCACGUAUUUGACUAGAUUCUAGCAAAUACUAACGGAUUAAACACGACUGCUUAUCGGAGGGCACACAUAGGAGUUUGACAAGACCCAAGUCACCCAACCAACCAACCGGUCGAUUCGAGAGACAGUAACCAACCGAGCUGAUUGCCGUCCAGGUCGGACUGACGGCUACGUCUUGCCGCUGCAGCCACUCCACCUGCUUCCUACAAAUAGCCUGGCCGGCGGCUACCUGCCUACCUCGCUCGUAUUUCCUCCUCCCCAGACCGAUCACUUCACCCAGAGAGCGAGUGGGAUCGCACGCCCAACGCUAGCCUUGCCAGUUGCCACCUGAUUGCGGCGCGCACUAGCUAGCUAGCUCUCGACUCUCGCUGGUUGUGGUUGGUUUAAAGGCGACGGCCCCCCUCGGCAUGCGCUGUCCUGCUCGCCCGGGAAAUGGCGCCCGCAGCUUCGAUCCUCUCGGCCACCUCCGCCGCCGCUGCUUCCAAGCGUCCGCCCGCUUCCGACGCUGAGCCGCUGCUGCAGGGCGACGGCGAGGCGGCGCGCAAGGGCCAGCAGCCGAGCAGGCAGCAGCAGCUGGAGUGCCCGCGCUGCCAGUCCACCAACACCAAGUUCUGCUACUACAACAACUACAGCACGGCGCAGCCCCGCCACUUCUGCCGCGCCUGCCGCCGCUACUGGACGCACGGCGGCACGCUCCGCGACGUGCCCGUCGGCGGCGCCUCCCGCCGCACCGGCGGCAGCAAGCGCCGCAGGGUCUCCGCCGAGCCCUCGCCGUCCGCGUCCGCGUCCUCGCCGCCGCAGACGACGGCGGGGGCCGACGCGUUCCUGCUGGCGCCGGACCUCUCGGCCUUCCCGUUCCUCAGCGACGGCAGCUUCCUGAUGCCACCGCAGCUGGACCUCGGCGUCGCACCGGCGGCGUUCUCCUCGUGGCAGUCGGUGGUCCCGGACUUUUACGACGGGCUCGCGCCGUGGGACGACGGCGCCACUGGCAUGACGGGUCCGUGGGGCGACAUCGCCGGCGGCCUCGAGCCCAGCUGGCCACCGCCGGGGAACUGAUCGUGGCAGCCGGUCGCCGUUGUGAGGCUCCGGUUUUAGCAGUGCGGCCUCAUCAUCAGGUUCAGGUAGCUAGUGCUUCAAAGUUCCUAGUAUGCAGUAUGUUUUGAUGAGCUAUAUAUCCAGCUAGGAAUGCAAGCAGCUCAAUUCUCCUGUGGUUUCGCUGUUUCUUCUCGUCCUUGUAACGAAAUGAAAUGGUGGCAAGUAGUUAGGUCGGUGGAUCAUGAUCUGUAGCUGCCUGGAGGGAGGAUUAUAAGAUCUGUGCAGUGAUUAUUGUGACAAUAAAAUUAAGUUUGUGUCAAGCUUGCACUAGCACAUGUUGACCUCUAGACAUCACAAAUGCGGAACGGUACUGACUACUGAGAGCCCAAGCAAAACACCAAGGGCAGGAAAGAAUGGAAAUAAAACUGAAAAUCCAUGAAUUUUGAAAAGCAUUUUUGUAUAUCACUGUAUAUGUAAAGGAGAAAAAUACGAACAAAUUGAGGUGAUGUGUGCUAACCAUACAAUUACACAAAACCUUGUAUAUCAACAGUGAUAGUGUUAAUCAUAUGAUAGUGUGGUUCUUGGAGUACAAUCAGCAUCCAACCAGACAGGGAAACAGAGAAAACUUUUCAGUAAAACUGUCGACGAACUAACCCAUAUCUAUACAGUAAAGAACCAAACAACCCUGCAUAAUCUCACGCUAACUUUACACUUGAACUGGGAAACCAAAAUUCUGGAAAACCCUGAUCUCGCCUCCCCGUCCAGCCGUGACAAUCACCAAACCCCACGCGGACCGGCGCUGAACGUCCAUAGCUCCAAUGCAGAGAUCAGAGGAGCAGUGACCGGGGCUGCUCUUGGCAGACGGUAAUUUCUCGUCAGGCCAGGAUGUGGAUGCCCCGUCGCCUGGAGGUUUGCUGGUGCUUCUGCUUGCCACACCUUCACAAACUGGGCUCUCAUUGUAUCUGUUAUCAGCUGCAUCAGAAUUGUGCUCAGUGUUCUCUGCAGGGACGUCUCGGCCAGAGUUCACUGCUCCAUCUGAAUCACUGUGCCUGCUGCUACGAGAUCCAAACGAGCCUCGGGCUUCGGAACCAGGCCAUGUGAUAGCCACCGUCACACCAUGGCAGUGGAAAUGUUCAUAUGAGUUGGUUACAUCAACUGUACUCCUACUUCUGCUCGGGUGGGAACUGUUGUCAUGUCUCCACACAUAGACAUGAGAAUCCUCACUGGCACAGACGACAUAUUUCCCAUUUGGAGCUACAGAAGCUGAGAUUUGGCUACUCGUGUUUCGAAACCCUGAUGAAAGGAUUAAAGUUAAAUACCAAAUAAAUGCCAAAUCCUGAAACUAGCACAGUAGCUUACACAGGUCAUAAGGCAAGUAAACCCCCUUUAUAUUUGCAGAAAAUAAUACAUGUAACUAUCUGAAAAAUGAACUAUAUAUGAUUUACGGUUACAGGAGAAUGAGGCAUUACCUUUAAACUUGUGAACCAAUUCAUCGCCAUUAACAACUCGUAUUCUCGAAUCUGCAGAAGUGAUCAGAACUUCCGAGGAGCUUCCAGGAGCAAACUGUUGCAUGAAACACAGAUAUUAAACUUAAAAAAAAACUCGACCUGCGGGGGGUAAGAUAGCCCCCGGGCUUUUUGCUAAAAGAGAAGACCUUCUCACAUAGGCUGAGAAAACCCCCGAACCUCUACCCCACCCAUACACAGGGGCCCGUAACCCUUGUGAGACUACCACUGGGCUGGCGACCACUGCAACUACCCCAGGUAGGAGGGCCCAAACCAACCGCAGCUGCGACCUGAGCCGGGCCUUGACCUAUGCUUUGGUUAUGGUGACAGACGAGGGGAUUUUUUUUAACCCCAGCCUGAAAUUCGCUCCCACGGGGAGUCGAACUCAGGACCUGAGAAGUGCUACUGAGACCAUCUAACCAACUCAACUAGAGGAACAUUCGCCAGAUAUUAAACUAAGUAAUAGACAAACAAUAUCACACAGGAGAGUUGAGCCAUCAGAUUAAUGUGUGCCUUCUAGAGUCCCAAAAAAAAAGAAUGUGCCUUUCUUGAGAAAAAAAAAGAAAGAAAUUGGCAGGGAAAUGCACGCUCUGUGCUACAUUACCUGGAAGCCAGUGAUCUUCUUCUGGCCAGACUUCUUUUUCCUAAUUCUUAAAUCUAUCUGACUUUUGUACUGAAGCUUUUUCUCUGCAAUGGUUAAAACAAUGUGUGAGUUCAUCAUUUGAGGAACUGGAAUUCUCUAUUGGUGUAUAACAAACACAGAGUAUUUAGUAAACAUAAAAAAAGAAUAAAUGCACAUGAGACCGAGUGUAUGGGAACAAGACUGUCAUACCAGAUGUAUCAAAUAUAUGACAGCUUCCCUUGUGAGAGCCCACCAGUGCAACCUUCAAAGGCCACAGAGAUUAAAAUGUAAGCAUGUCGAGUUUUAUGGUAAACAGAAAUAUGUACCAGAAGGGAACUACUUCAACCUGUCCAUCAGGGGAAUAACAAGCAGCGGUAACCAUCUCAUGAAGAUCAUUCCAAUCCUCAAUCUUACGAUCUCGGACAUUCCAGAUGCGAACUUUCUCAUCCAGUGAUCCACUAAUGAAGAAGUUAUCAUCUACAGGAUUGAACUGGAUGCAAGUCACUGCAAAAGGUUGAUUACAAAGAAGCAAACAAUUAUAAUGCUGGUCAAAAUUCCAAACAAAUAGAACUGAGGAACAAAAGGGAACGCCCCUCUCUUUCUAUGAAAACAAGGAGAGACCAUAACAAAUCGACAGAAAUGUAUCCUGUGACCUACUCACCAUAGUCUGUAUGUGAGAAUGUUUUCAAACAGGUACUGGUAGUAAUGUCCCAAAGUUUAACGGUUUUGUCCAUGGAUGAUGAGAUCAAGUACUGCAAGAGAACGUUAAAAUCAUUAAAUAUUUUGUCACGGUAAUGUCAAUUAACAAGUUAUUUAUUAUUUAUCUGUUUUCUGAUUUGACAAUAACAAGACCUGACGUGCCAAAAAGAAGCAGGCUUAAAAGAGCAGAGCAAUGACCUACUUAUGACCGUUGACAAGGCUUGUAAAAAAUACAAAAACGCCGUUCCUUAAUGUUGCCAUGGACAACACCCAAGUCAACAUUUGAAACCAAUCAGGAAGACACAGUGCAUGAUCAGCUAAAUUGCAAUAUCUGAACUAUAUUAUAUGUAUAAAUGGGUGGAACCUGUUUUAAACAUAAAGAGUAUAGCAACAACAAAUGGACAGAAACUGUUUUAAACAGAGUCAACUAGCUGAACAUGUGCAGCAUGUCUUAGGUCUGUACUAUGUAGUCUAAAAAAUAAUGAGUAAUUAGAUUUUUUCUUUACUGGACGCAGAAAUGAUAUAAGGUUUUCAUAGAUAAGUAAUGGACUAAUGGACAAAUCAAAGCAAGAUAGAUUCAUAUCGGUACUGUUGGAAAAUUACUGUAGUGCUCAGCAGCCACAUCUCCUGUUCUAUAGGCAACAUGCAGUCUAAUGUUGCAUGCUGAAACUUAUGCCCAAUUUCACAUGCGGCAAAAUGCCAAACAUGUCUUGGUUGCCACAUUGCACAUUCAUUUGGUUUUUAGCCAUUUUGACAACCAUACUUCUUACAGCCAUACUAGAGCUCAUCAGAAACAGACAUAACUAAUUUCUGAACAACACAAGGAUGCACAAUUGUUGAAUGAGGUUUCAGGAUUACUGCCAAAUAUUGAAGAUUCAAUGGAAGAUCACAAUUUCGCACCUGAGAUUUGGACCAUGACAGAUCAAGGACGUCAGCGGCAUGCCCCAGGAGCGAGCAAACUGGCUUGUCUCUGAAACCAAAGACGCACUCUGGCACAACUAGAUGAUCAGAACCUACAGACUUUCGAUUGCUCUGCUUCCUUGGCCUCCUCUUCUUGUCCACAUAUCCUCCAUCAGCGCAGGUCAAUGACAGUGCAGCAAUCUCUGGUGAAUCAUUCCCAACAACUGCAAGAAACGGGCUGCAGCUACCACCAUUCUCCUUGGUCACUGAAGCUUCCCCGAGCAACUCACCCUUCCUCUCUCCCUCCGACACCUCCCACACAUGGAUCACACGGUCCUCUCCAGCAGUUGCAAGGUAUCGUCCAUCCAGGCUGAAGUUGAUGCACCACACAGAGCCCGAGUGGGCAGCCAAUUCCUGCGUCAUGAACAUCCCGGUGAGCUCCUUGCACGCCUUCCCGUACUGGCGCACCCGGACCCUUCCAGCAGCAUUGCGCGAGCCGGUGCCAUCAAGGCUGUCGUCGGUGGCAGAGCUCAGGCGCCGCGCUUCCCGCUCCUUCUUGUCCUUCUCCUUCUCCCCCUCAUCGGUGCUGCGGCGCCCGUACGCGACACUGCCCGCGAGCUGCCUGAUGCCGCGCAGCCAUCCUCCCCCGGGCUUCCUCCGGGGCUUGGACGCGGGAGCUGCGUGAUCGGAGGCGGACGAGGACGCGGCGGUCGUCGUCCGCUUCAUCAGCUCGUGCACGAUCGGGGAGCGGCCGACGCAGAGCUCGAACUCCUCGAAGGUGAGCUGGCGGCCGGUGCCCACCUCCCGGACCACCUCCUCGUGCACCUCCCCGACCUCGAACUCCGUGCCGUCGUCGAGGUUCCGGAUCCGGCAUUGCUCCCCGCCGCUGGAGCUGGGGUUCCGCGCGAGCGGCGGCUUCCCGAGCCCGCCGGAUCUGGGCUCCUCGGCGGCGAGCGGAGGCGAGGCCGGGGGAGACGCCGGAGGGGACGGCGAGCGAGGCGAGCGGCGCGGCGAGGGGGGCUGCUGCGGCGGCGGCUCCGGCUCGGAGGAGAGGCCGAGGCGCUGGAGCAGGAGGCGGCGGCGCUCCUCGACGGAGGUGGGCUCGGAGAUCCAGACGUCAUACGCGGAGGCGUGCGUCGGCGGGGGCUGCUGCAGGUGGCGGUGGGAGCGCCUGCGGCGGCGGUGGUCGGCGUCGUCGUCGGAGGCGGAGGUGGAGGAGCAGGAGGAGGAGAGGAUCCGAUCCAGCGACUCGUAGAACUCCUCCUCCUGCUCGGCCUCCUCGCCCGCCGGAUCCGGCCCCGGCGGCCGCGCCGCCGCCUCCGGCAUUGCCUCGGCCCCCCCGGCACGGGGCAGCCGACCAACCACUCGCGAAUGCGCGGCGGGGCGGGGCGGGGCGGGGCGGGUCGGCGACGAGGGGAGGAGGGAGGCGCCCGCCCGCCCAAAUGGCGAGCGGAUUUAUAUGGGGAGGUUUUGGUUUCGUGGUGUUCACAGCCGGGGGGCCUUGUUUGUUACUGCUGCGUGCGCGGGGCGUCGUCACCUCCACUCCACUCUCCCUCUCCUCCAGCUGGUGGAUGUGGAAGCAAAGGCCAAGGCUGGCUGCAAGGGGAAGGGAAGACAAGGCGAGCGGACACCUCUGCUACUCAGCGACGAGGUGGAGCACGGCGCUCCUCUCCUCUCCUGCUCGGCACGUCGAGCCCAGCAGACGACGAGGAGGUGUGCCACCGUGCCAGGUGCUGAUCCCAGGAUCCGGCCGAGGAUAUCCCGGGCGUGACGAUGACAGGUGGGGCCAGCCGAAAUAUCCCGCUAAAAUAGUGGUUCUCGUACGAGCACUAGCGCUUGGAAAAGCCAAACGUGUUAUAUUGGAUCACGCUGAUCGCGUGUCCCAGCGCCUCCCGGCUGUCCUGACACUUGCACGGGCUAACGGGAGCUGCCUCCUGUUUUUAAGCCAUCGGCACGGAGAAAUAUGAGAAUCCUCCCUAAGUUUGAACGUAAACAGAAUAUAUGAAAUAGUUAUUUGCAAAUUAGAUAAUAUAUAUCUAAAAUAGAAAAACGAAUCCCAAUACGGUCUAUGAUGCCAUGUCAACAGCUAUAAUAAAAAAUACUACGUAAAGAAAAGGGAUACGAAAUAUCCAUUGUCCAUGCAUUGGAUGGACUCCAGGUGAUUGAUAUUGUACCCCCGACAAAAAACUGAGGGGAAUCAAUCAAGCUUGGUCAACCAUUAUCGAGCAAUCCUAAUUCCUAAUGAUGGAGGAUUUGGUCGGGGUGCAGAAAUGUACUUCCCUGCUUUAGGAUCUAUUGCACGUCUAAGACCUUUUGUUCUUCUUUGCAUUUGUUAUUUUGGCACAAGUUUUUUUUCUAAAAAAAUAGUUUGAAAAUGUUCAAUUGUAAGAAAUGAAUUUCUACAUCAUAGGAUUUCUUACCAAAGUUAGAAAAAAAGGUCUCGAUUUCUCGAAUUCCUUAUUUCUAUCUCAAGCAAAAGAAAGAGGAUCCAAGGCAUAGACUUUUUUCGCUCUCUAUGUGGCUUAAUAGGUUUCAUGUAAAGUCAAUUUAAACUUUCUCGGUCAAUUCAAUUGCGGCCUUGACAAAAACUGUAGAAAUACAUACACAUGUAGGUUUUAAAAUUCAUUUUGCCUUAUUAUUAUAUAGUACAUAUAUUCCUCAAAGGUUUUGCUGUAAUACUGGACCUUAAACCGUAAGAUGGCACAAGGAUGAUGUUUGUUGGCCCACAAUUCCACAAAGGUAAAAAUAGAUGUCAUUGCGAUGGACUCUCUGUAUUUACUACUUAUUAGCACAAUUAACCUCUCAAAAAACAUAAAGGUUAUGAUUUACAUCAGUAAAUUGUAUCACAAAAGGAUAAAAAGAAUGACAUCCAAGACAAGUACAGUUAAAAAUAAGAUACACGUAGUAAAAGUCAAACCAACAGUGAUUUUUUAGCGUGUGCCCAUCGUUUCAGCUAAUAAUUUAUUAUAGUAGGGGCGAUUAGCAUAACUAUUAACUAGUAUAGUAUAUAGUCGAUGCUUGGCAACUAUGUCAUGUAACCCUUGACGAUGUAGUUUGUUAAUUACAGUGUCGGAUAACUUGCUCAAAUAAUUUGACGGUUAGCAAAAGUUUUCUACUUCUGAUCGUGAUACAAUUGUUUUCUUUUAGAUUAACAUGUGCUUAAAACACGUAUAACAUUGGUGAUCAAUUUGUUUAUUACUUGGUGAUCGGUUCUUCUGUUUCGUGAUCGACUGUGAUGGAGUGACAGAGGUGCUAAGUUGUUAAACUUGUAGCAGUAAAUCUACGCCGGCUUACUAAACUAAAGUGAGGGUUAAGUGUGGAUUAGGCAAGGCAGCAAAUGUGCGCCAAUGAUUAGCUUCUAGGCUUAGCCUCCCGGCAUGAUCACGAGAAGAAUUACGUAGCUCCUGCGUUACCACCAUGGGUGGGCUUUACUUGUCAACCACUUGUCGCAGGACAACGAGGCCAUGAAAUAUUUUACUUGUAGCUUUGCUAGGUGCACGUCCAUGAAUCACAAUUCCUCCAUAGUCCGCAUGAGCACCCGCUCAUCCGCACAAAUAGUUGAUGCGUACCACGACUAUGUACAGCUUAAUAAAACUUGGGUCGGUUGAUUUUCUAUCCUCCUUCGAUAAUUUCUCUAACCGUUGGAUGAAAAUCUAACAGUCUUGGUUCACCUUGUGUUCUUAUUUUCGUUGAUGAAAAGUGGGCGAAACAACAACAAAAAAUGAUUAGAAUUCUUGUACUAAGAGACAUUACAAAUCCAGCAGUAUUUGCCAAAAAUAUGACGAUGGAUAAAAAAACACUUUUCAUAAUUUUUUUUAGCUGGAUUUUUUCCCCAUAAAACUUUGGCACAGAAAAGCAUCUGCCAAGUUGUGGGCUUGUGGCUGUGCCGUUGGAUAGAGGAGAUUUAAUUUAACCGGGUCAUCAUACCAGAAAUCAGGUCAAACUCAAUAAAAUACCCAAGAGAAUUUUCUUUCAUACAAUGUUUUUUCUCCAGUGAUUUGAACAUGGAAGCAUGUUUGAUGUACAAUGGCGAUCUGAUCCUCCUCAUCACCUCCCAUAUUGACCAUGAAUUUUCCUCCUCGUCGCUUAUUUUUUGUGCUGGUGAAAUGCUCGCGACUUUUCUUUUGUUCUGAACUGAUGAUGGCAUGCAGGGGUGUUCUUGCACCGACCGCAUGCAAAGUGGUAUGCAGUUGGUGGGCGCGCCGCGCAUGUUACUGCAGGCGAGGCGAUGGAUCGAAAUGGCCGAGGCUGAAGCUAGCCGGCCGCUGCUGCAGCUGGCGUGCAAUAAUGGAGGAGUCUGGAGCACGUUGCAACGCUUUUGGCUCAGGUCAAUGGCUGGUUGGCUGCUUAAUCUCCCUGCUAGCUGCAACCCUUUGCAAAAUAAAGCCAUGGAUGGAUCUCAGCUGGGAUUAAAGAGGCCGGCCAUGGCAUCAUAUUGACAGCUUUGUUUGCAGGACCCUCCAUUCCAUACCAUCUUCUCCUCUCCCUAGUUAGCUGCUAAUCGCUUUUUGUAUCUUAAUUAAUCCACGGCCGCGCAGCUGCGCACCAACCAACCACGCACACACGGUGCUGAUGAUAGAAAAUCAGGGAGAGCACGUUGGAGGAUUUCGUUUGGCUGGACUAGGCGUAGUUUUAUCUAUACCCUAGAUGGCCUUCCAGCCUAGAUCGUUCGUUCACCGCCGAUCAUCACCAGCUACCUUGGUUGAUCAUGCCUGCGUGCUACAAGGCAAACGGCACCUGCGUCGAUCCAGUAGUUGUUGCCUAGCUUCUUGGUGGUGCCGCCGUGCGGCUAAAAGGAAGGGAAGGAAAGGAAUCCGAGGAAGAAGAUCGAUCUUAGCUGUUCGUUCGUUCCUGUGCAUGCUAGCCGCCCGCUUGGCUUGGCCACCCUUGUUGCUUGCCACGCUGUCGCUGUGUGCAUCAUGCUGUUGAGCUUCUAGACUGCUACUGCUAGCUAGUCUCCGCGCCAUAGAACGUGCAUGAUCCGCACCGUGUUUUCGUUAGCGUCCAAGUUACGCAAGGAAGACAGGCAGUACAUACACCAGGACCUUUUUGGAGCGAGUCUUGGUAAGCCGCGCGCGUCCUCAGCUCCUGACAUGCUUGCACGCACGCUACUAUGUGUGUGAGGAUAUAUGACUUUAUCAACACGGUUACAUAGCAGAUGGCCAGGCAAGCAUAUGCUAAUGCAUGUUGGACUGGAAAAUGGCAUGUGCGCAGCUGGAACUGGAAAUGCAUAUGCAUUUGCUUGGACUUGGACACGGAGCGGCGCGCCGGCCGGUGCUUGACAUGUUGCUAUGCUAGCUAGGAGAAUCUUUGCUAGCCCCAGCAAAUUAAUAUUUAUUGUUGCUUCUAAUUAGCCGCUCUUAUAUUAACCACUAUCCAGAAGAUUAAAAAGCUAGGCUUUUCAGUGAACUUUUCUUGUGCGUUACAUUUUCUUUUCGGUAAAAUAGCAAGUGAUUAACCUUUUUUUUUAUCGGAGGGUAACAACUUUAAUUUCAGGAAGCCACCAACUUAUGAGCUAAGCUUGUACUGCCUGCACUGUAAGCUAGUGCUGCGUGCCGGCCAAAUCUUGUAGGCCUGGCCGGAUGAUUGAUGAACGUAACCGUAGCUCAUCAUGCGUAUUAUUUACAUUUUACAGUGCCAUCUAUCAGCAUGUAGUACAUGAGUAGUCAAGAAGGUAGGCAUGUGGGUUAGGUUGCUCCCUACCUAGCAGCAGUACAAGAGGACCGAAAUGGAUCCUUUCAGGUCCUACGAGAGGUAGGCCGGUAGAUAGAGCAGAGGCGUUGGCCUGGCCCAACCCAAGCCCUACCACCACCAUUUUUAUGAUUCAUCAGGCUUCAGGCCACCGAGUAGCAAGCUUGGCCAGUCAAUGGUGAGUCAGGUCAGAGUGCAUGUCGCUCGUUUGUCUUAUUGUCGGACCCACGUUUACCUUACCUAGCUACGUCGCCCAUCCAUGGAAUGCAGAUGCAGAUGCAGGGGCGGGGGCAGGUCCCUUGUUCGUUGCUCUGGUCACGUCGAUCCCUGCCGAUCGAGGAGACGAGGACGAAUCUGGACGCUAGCUACCUAGCUUGUCCGAAACAGAUCGCCCACAUGAACAACACCUCUGUACUGCUGCUACGACCUGUUCAUGCAUGGAUGGUGGAUGGCCCAGAUUAUGGUGCACCAUCAGUUGGCAACAAUGAAACGUGAAGGCAGGACCUUCCCCUAGACGACGACGACCAAGACCAACCCCGAUUGGCGUUUGACCACGCAUGGCAUGACGACCGAGAUCCCUGGAAUGGAGUGUCCGGCCUUCAGACCAACCACGACGUGACGGGGCGACGCCGAUCGAUAGCCUGCUGCAGACGCGCAUGUUUCUUUCACCAGGACGAUAGAACGAGACAAAAAGUGGAGUACAAUUUACUUUCACCGUGCCUAUCCACGGAAGGUAAAACGCACCUUAACCGAUAGUAUACGUUGCAUCCUCCAGUCACGUCAGUCGAUCAGUGAAAUGAAGCUUGACAGAGCCGCGAAUUCGGCGGUGCCAGGAAAGAACACUCCGGCCGACGGAUUGUCCGUAACCGCCGCCGUUGUCGCCGGCAGACAUGCGCAUACGGCAUACUACUACGCCACCAUUUUAGAGUAGUAGUAGCGCACCGGCCUACUAGAAUAGUAGGAAUUGCGUGUCGAUUCUGCGGCGAGGCAUCGCCGCCUGGCGCCAUUAGUUAAGAGCAGCCGGGCACGGCCUUGCCAGACGCCACAGGGACACCCGGAGAUGCGGCCCUGCGAUGCAGGAACACAGCCGAGGACGCGAGCCCGUUAAAAAACACGGGGGGCAGCGCGAGAUCUUCACUCGGCGACGACGACGACGACCGGCGCCGCCGCCGACCACGUCUCGGUCCCCCGACAACCGGACCGGAUGCACGGAAUCGUGUCGCGUUCCAAGUGAAGCACCGGCCUGCAGCGAGAGUACACGGCAGGCAGGAUGCCUGACUCACCGGGUGAUGAGCUGAGCACGAUUCAGUCGCGGCAUAAACAAAAGCUCACCUGCUCGCCGGGACCAGGACCACCGCCGGGCAGCUCCACCCCGUAGCUUCGUGCUUCCGUACGGACACGCAUGAUUUCCAUUCCGUGCAGAUCGAGAUUACCACAAGAUUAUCUUGACUGCCGGGUAGUUAACAGGCAAACGAUGACAGCAAACAGAGUUUAGUUCUGAAUGUAUGCACAGAAAAAUCCAUUCCCAGCCGGCAAUGUAGGUUUUCUGUUCCUGACAGAAUCGCAGACGAGACACACGGCAACACAUCACAGUACUAUCACACACACUCUGGUCAAAGGGCCCGUGGAGCGGAACGCGCUCAGGGGCGUGGGACGAGCACAUGUACAAGCAGUCCAUCAGUCAAGCACCACUCCUAGUCUGAACGAAAGAGGAGACCACGGAUGAAUCACAUGCGGGUCAUGCCGAUGCCGCCGACGAUGGGCGGCGGCACGUCGGCGAUGGCGCGUGAUCUGGCGUAGAAGAGGUAGUGGAGCUCGGUGAAGAGCGCCGUGAGGAAGGUGAAGGCGGCGCCGGCGGCGAAGACGCCCUUGCGGAGCAUCGCGCAGGCAGGCGGGCUGUCGCUGGGCCUCGGGAUGUACUUGGUGUGGUAUGCGUUCCGGACCGAUCCCGCCAGCAAGCACAACUCCGCGAUCACGAAUGUGAGCCUGCAUCAAUCCACUCCCACCACUUCAGAGAAACCAAAAAACAUACAAGUUCAACCAAGCCAGUGUAAACUAAACUUUCUAUAUUCUAAAACAGGCCACACUACUACGCAACUCUGCCCUGUUCAGCACCAGAAUAAAUGGUAGAAAGAUGUCAUCUAUUGUAAAAUACAAGGAACAAGCAAGUAUAAAAACUGGUAUAAAAAUUUGUACAAUACGUACAGUGCUUGUCUAGUAUCUCGAAUCCUCAAGUGCUUGCAUGAUAAUGAUUUGCGUAGAAAGGUAACGAGCCACAAACAUCAGAAAAGGGUGGUGUGAGUCUCUUAGCAUGCUUGUAACAAAGCAACACUGAACUGACGCCGAAUUUCGGGUUGUGUUCUUUUUUUAUUAUUAAAGCUCUAAAUCACCAAAUUUCAUAGCAUAUUAACGUGACCUAUAAAUCACCGUACUUAUGGGACCAUCUCUAAAACUUAUAGGCCAAGUUGACCAUUGCAUUAUAAUUAUAAGCUGGGGUCAAUAUCUUAUCUACAUAACUAUCGCUUCGUAUAAUUCUUACUAACUUUCUAGAAGGUUCUUUGUACUUUGCUUAUGUUACUUACUUAUUGUGAUAGUUUUACUUCAUGUAAACAAAGAAACUAUACAGAUAGUUUGUACAUGAACAAACUGUUUUUAUAUCCAAUAUUUUUCUAGAGUUCUAAUUUAGAAAAUAAAUUCUACUAAAAACAUCUAGUAUAACUUCAGAAAUCAUCGCAUCCAAACACCUCUCAGCUUUCCAAAACUAAAAUAUUUUACAAAACCAUAGUUAAAGUACUUUGUAUCUAAGCAGGGCCUGACUAUGUGCCGGCCAAGGGCCUUCCACCUCUCUGACUUCUUCUGUACGGCCUAAAAGGGCACAAACUGGGCUACUGGUCGUCCCAUGAUCCCAUGAGUUUCAUUCAGUCCCCAUUCUUGCUCAAAAAUAUAUUCCAGCUUCCAAACAGAUGUUCUCAGUGGCUGAUGUACGAAUACCUAAACCAUCAUAUCAUUUUGCUCCAUUUUUGGCUAAGAAUUGGGCAGGGACAGGGCAACCAAUCAGUGCAUGCCAUGAGACCGACUUGCAAACCAGCAGCCAGAUCAGGGCAAGGUAUACAAUAUACAGCCAACCUAGACAUACACAUGUACUCCCUAGUAUUAAUCUACAUUUAGAUUGCAAGGUCGAAGCUCACACAAAGUCAAUGGGCCAAACUGUGCAGCGAACUGAGCGGAUUAGCUGGCCACCAGCCAGCACCGGGUAUACGACUGCAAAAAUCCACAAAUUCCAGGGGCGAAAUUGCACAGCGAACAUGGUGACAAGUGAGAGCGAGAGACAGACAAAACAUGCCGAGGUUUCCCUGGUGAAAAUUGAUGAUUCACCAGGUACGGUUGAGGGGCAGAAAGAAAGUUCCAGUUGGUUACCAGCAGACGACGAAGCAGAUGCCGGACCAUGCCCGCCAGCGUCCCGGCGAGAGGGCGCGGCCGCAGCAGAAGCAGCGGGUGGCGACCAUGGCGACCGCCUGGCCGGCGAGCAGCAGCAGCAGCGCGCUGACGCCGUACACCGUGGACGCGUCGGAGCUGUAGACGCAGAAGGCCCUCCCGUACGUGUCCACGCUGACAUAGGUCACCUGCACGCAGUUGUUCAGCAGCGAGGAGAUGAGCAGAUCAGUACAAUACUUCCCCUCCAUGGCUCCCCAAUCAUCCCAAAGAUGGCAGAGAUAUCGAGCAGAGACGAAUCAGAAGAAGGAAGGGAAUAAUCAGCAAGCUGUGCUCACGUACGUAGCUCCGCCGGCGCUCGGCGCCGAUGGCGAGGACGAAGGCGAGGACGUCCAAGACGAAGACCACGGCGAUGAUGAUGAUGGACGCCAUGAGGAAUUCUCUGGACGGACGGACGGAGGGGACUGAAUGAUGCAGCUGCUAGCAGCCUAGCACGGGGUUCGCUUCGCUUUCCUCUCCGUCGCGCGUCGGCACAAAAAAACUAAAGAGAGGGAUGGAUGGAUUAGGCCGAGCGAGGGGCGAUGAUAGCUAGCAGAAAGGCUUAGCUUAGCUUAGCUUAGCGAGGUGUGGUGUGGUGAGGCGAUGCGGCACUAGCGCGCUGCUCUGAUGUUGACGCGUUAGCGGAGCGGGUGCCUCUCGACUGGUUGACGGGCGGCCCCAGCCCGGAUUCUUGCAUGAUGGAUUGGAACAUCAGCUUAGUUAUUGCUUCCAUGUUAUUGCGCUGCAGCUAGCUCUUAGCUUUAGUAAAUUUCCUCCAAUUCCUUCUGGGCGAAGAAUUUGCUUGCCAAAGCAGAAAGAGUGGCAGAUGCUUUCCGCUUCGUGCGGUGGCGAAGUGGUGAACCUUUUCUUUCCUUGGCCCGGCCUGCUGCUAGUGCUAGCUUUGCGAUGGCGAGGCAGCGACCAGCGCAGCCACGUACUCCACCCUGACACGAACGAUACGUGUCAACCAAAGAUCGAUGGAGGCUCCGAUCCUCCACUCCUCCUUGCGUACAUAAUGCGUCGAUUAGCGAGUGUUUGCUUGCAACGCGUGCAACGUGCACUCGAUUGAGCACCCGACGAAAGGGACACGAGAACAUCGUGACAGCUGAUCGCCUGAUCGAGACCAGACUGUGCGCGCACGUACCUUUUUCUCAUCUCGUCUUAGUUCUUACGCCGACCAGCUGGGUUUUCAACAUUGGAGAGUGUAAACCGUUUCAAGUACUGCGCUACUUAAAAAAAAAGCACCCGCAUGCACCUUGUCUUAUAGCUUUGACCCAUAAAAUUCAGCCAUUGAAUUGGAGGAGUAUUCACUCUUUCUUUUUGGAAUGAUGAUUGAGUAUUCACUUAGGAAACAGUGAGUUUGCUGGUUUUCUCCUCCUCCUCUGUCAUUUUUGGGUUUUUUUUUUAGAGACGUUUUCCAUAUGUUGUUCUAGGUGGUAUAUGCAGCAAAGUGGGGCAGCUAUUUAUUCACGGGCCAAAAAAGCCCAACCGUUCAAGGAUCAACAAGUGGGCCGGCCCAACCGAAAGCGAGACAAAAAGCCCAAACGUGCUUGUAGGAGGAGGAGAGAGCAAGCAGAGGAUCAACACGUCGCCGUUUCCUUGUUCGAUCCCGUCGAUUUCAGGCGCCUGCUCGUCUCUUCCCCACUCCAUUGCUCGUGUUCUGGCGCUUCCCCCGCGAGCCCGCUCCUCGAUUCGAUUGAGGUCGCGUGAGCGCGCGCUUUGGAGCUCCGUGACUGCUGGGAUCCGGGCCGAUUGAGGUCGAAACAGACAAACAGUCGGUAAGCGCGCUGGUCUCUGAUUGCUUCCGCUGGGUAAUCGUGUAUGGAUUGGGGAGACGUGGUUGCCUGGUUGGUUCGCCCGCCAUAUAAUGUAGCGGGGGGGGGGGGGGGGGGGGGGGCUUGGGAUUUCUGCGCGCUCGGAUUCAAGCUGGCAAUUGCGCAAUUGGGAGUGGUUUCUCGAGCUAUAAGGACAUCGUGGUUAGCCGCGAAUCUGCGAUUUGUGCUAAAUUAGGUUUCUGCCCGGGAUGCACAUGCACUCCAGCACAUUUGCCGCAGUUUAUUUACUUCGAAUGUUUUAGCUUAUCUGGUUUGGGAGUUCUGAUGCUGACUAGGUGUGUAUUUCACACUCAUUUGAUUUUGCCACCACUUCCCAUUGUCCAACACUCCAAUAGCUUUCAGUUCUGGAGCACAUAGCAGGGAUGCUCCUAUGUUUGAUCUGAACGAGGACUAUGGAUUGUGUUUUAUUUGAAUCACAACUCUACUGCUUACCUCUUGCCACCCAUCAAAUUUUCUUAUUCAUUCAUCAACUAUGGUAGGGUUUUUGUUUCGUGCUGUUUCCUCGAGGCUAACAUGAUUGAUAUGAACCCAGACUCUGAAGAUACAUGUAGCAGGAGGGGCAACAACAGAGAUAUUAGGUCUGUGCAUAAGAGAUGGUAAGCUGACAGUUUUCACUUGCUAAAUUAGCAUGAUGGGUUCCAGUUUUUUUCAGAACCCCAGGAACUAUUCAUUUGAAUUCUAUUCUGAAGAUUGCUAAUUACUCACUAACUACUCUUUAGUUUGUUCCCAUGUUAGAUAACAGGUCUGAUCUUGAGAAGCCCUCUAUAAAUCCUGGGAUGUGGCAAUGCUCCAUUUGCACGCAUGAAAAUGAUACAAGUAAUUUAUCCUGUGAGCUAUGCGGUGUACUUCGUGAUGUGUCACUGUAUUUCAAUAAUAUCAGUGAAGCUGAAGCUGGAGGUAUCUAAUUUUGUUACAUUAUAUUCUACUACUUCGAUGCAGUAUAAUUACUUCUGUUUAGUAUGUUAAUUUAGUUACGUUCCCUCCUGAAAUCAAGCUAAACGCAGAAACAAGUAUUCUGGAGUGUCCGUAUUGGCAAGAUCUCUUUUUGCACCAUCUAGUACGAAGUCAGAGGCUAUUAUUUUCUCUGAUGGCUCCCAAGACAAUAGAAAUGCAACAGGGAAUAAGCAAGCUACCAUGGAUGCUCUGCACAAGACAUACAUGCCCAACAAAAAGCGCCACAUUAACAUAGGUACGCUACAUCGCUACACUUAGCAUUCAGCAGUCAUAUUUUGUGCAAGUUAGUUUUUUAGUGAAAUAUGUAAUUCAAAUUUUUGUUGCUGUAAGUGUACUAUCAUUUAUCCUGUCUAAGUCACUUAUUUGCAUAACCAUAUAUUUUAUAGUAACUGUACAUCUUCACUGUAGGCACUAAUGGACUCUUUUUUUUUAAUAACUGCACUUAUGGACCAUGUUGAGCUGAGCCAUAAUGAUAAGUAACUCUGUCAACCAACUUACAGAUUUAUGUUUGAGCUACAAGCUUAAGCCUGAACUCUUUGCAUCUCCAGAAGUGGAAACAUGCAAUUGGUGUCUGGCUAGUUGGUCUUAGAAUUUUAUUAUGAAGAUUUACAGUUAGAUUCUCAUAUGCUACUCUGCUAUACAGAAAUUUGUGGAUUGAGAAGUUAGUGAGUACUAAUUAGCAAUGGAAUUUGCUUUAUCUAGGCCUACCUUGAGUUCCUCUCCUUUGUAAGUUGGACGAAUCUAUUUGGGUCGACUUGUUUGUUGUUCCUAGGGGGCAUAUAUUGUAGUUCUAUAGUGUGUGUUCAGACACGGUUCAUUUUUCUUACUGUCUGCUUGAUAUUUGUUUCGUUUGCUGAUUUGUUUCCAGAGUAAAAUUACCUGGAACAUGACUGCAUUUUGUUGAUAUUGACAGUGCCUUUCAAGUUUGACACGCCAUCUCCUGAUGACAUGGUCACUACGGGCUUAAAAUCAUCAAGAAAUUUUAGAAAAGGUACUUGUUGCACUGCUCUUCCCCUCCAUUUGACAGGUGGAUAGCAUACUACUUAAAAUGCAUUUAGCAUUUAAUUUGGUGCGGAUCCUUUAUUUUUCAUUGUUUGUGAGGUUGUAUUUUCCUGGUUAAUCUGGAUUUGAUUAAUUUACAUGUUUAUGUGCUGAAGAACGAGUCUAGUCAAACAGAAUGCAUAUUGGUGUCAAUAUGAUUAUGAACCAUGGACUGGCCCAUGCCAUAGAUAUCCCUUGGCUCUCUGUUUUCUUGCCCCCUUGAGACAUUGCUGUAAACGGUGCUAUAAAUGUUUUUUAAAUUGAAGAUUCUUUCCAGAAAAAAACUUGUGUUAUGUAUACCUUGCUAUAGUUGUAUGUUGACUUAAAUUUAUACCAGUUGACACAGAGGUUUUAAUUAAAGAUUCAGUUGAUGUCGCUGGAGAGAAGACGAUGGAUAGUGGUAUUCUUGUAACUGAAAAGGAUACAAGUAUGGACCCAAGUGCAUCAGCAGAGUUGGAUGAACUUGGCGGAACUAGUAGCAGUGUUCCUUCCAGUAGUCAAAAUAUAACUCUUGUUUUGGACCAUGAGCUACAGCAUUUAAGUUUGGAGAGCAAGCCGAAGAGCAGUAAACCCAAGAUUAAGAAACCGGCUUCUAUUUCACAGUACAAGCCAGAACCAUGGAUGCUCCAGAGUGAAGAUCAAGAAAUGCGUAGACAGCUAAAUCUUGCCAUUGUAAGCAACAAUUGCAUAUUUGCUUUUCAAUCAUUUAUAUACUGAUAUUUCAUUUGUUCUGCUCUAAGUCUGUUGGAAAUGUGAUGCUAGGUUGGUCAUGUCGAUUCUGGGAAAUCAACUUUAUGUGGUCGAUUACUGCAUGCUCUUGGAUUGAUUUCAAAAAAGCAGAUGCAUAAAUAUGAGAAAGAAGCUAAAGAAAAGGUCAGUUCUGUUAUUCAGAUUACUAGCGCAUCUCAGCCUGCACUAAGCUGCUUAUAUUUUUAGAAUGCUUCUUCUGUCAGGGGAAAGGAUCAUUUGCAUAUGCUUGGGCCAUGGAUGACAGCACUGAUGAGAGGGAGCGUGGAAUUACAAUGACUGUGGCUGUAAAAUACUUUGACACUGAGAAAUACCAUGUAGUUUUGCUCGACUCCCCUGGUCAUAAAGACUUUGUUCCUAAUAUGAUAUCUGGUGCUACACAAGCUGAUGCAGCCGUCCUAGUUGUUGAUGCGUCUAUAGGCUCAUUUGAAGCAGGCAUGGGUGUUAAUGGGAUUGGUCAAACAAAGGAGCACUCGCAACUUAUUAGGAGCUUUGGAGUUGAGAACUUGAUUGUUGCUGUUAAUAAGAUGGAUCAGGUGGAAUAUUCGAAGGACCGGUUUAAUUUUGUUAAAUCGCAACUUGGUAUCUUUCUUCGAUCAUGUGGGUUCAAAGACUCUUCAGUCACUUGGGUUCCUCUGAGUGCAAUGGCAAACGAAAACUUAGUGACUGCUGCUUCAGAUUCUCGUCUUUUGUCAUGGUAAGAUAUUGCUAAUGUUGGGCCUCUUUACGCAUCACUUAUUUUCGUGGACUUUGUAGUUGAUUAUCAAUUAAUUUGAUGCCCGUUGUCAGGUACAAUGGAAAUUGUAUGCUGAAAUCCAUUGACUCGCUACCUCCUCCUCAUCAUGAUGUUUCAAGGCCACUACGCCUUCCCAUCUGUGAUGUUAUUGCAUCUAUCACACUGGGGCAGGUGGCAGUUUGCGGUAAAGUCGAGGCUGGAGGAAUCCGAACUGGUUCUAAGGUACUAUUCUGAUGUUCUGCUUGGCAAAGUAUGAGCUUAUUUUUAAACUUGUAAAUUGUUAUUGUAAUGCUUGCUACCACUUGCUGUGCAAAAGAUUGUACAUCAUGUUACAGUUAUCCACUUCAUUCCUUUCCUGUCCGAUUACCUGCUAAACAGCUAUGAUAUCUGCAAUUUCCUUGCUUUGUUUACAACCUGCUCAAGUUGUUAUUUUGAUCCUUAAUAUUCUGUCGCCAGGUUCUUGUCAUGCCUUCCGGAGAUUUAGCUACAGUUAAAACCAUCGAGCGGGAUUCCUCUCGUUGCAGCUCAGCAAGAGCUGGGGACAACAUUGCUGUUGGUUUGCAAGGGAUCGACACCAGUCACCUUGUGUCAGGUGGAGUUAUUUGCCAUCCAGAUUUCCCCGUGCGCAUCGCUUCUCGCUUGGAGCUGAAAAUCUUGGUUCUAGAAAUCACUACACCAAUACUGGUCGGCCUUCAGGUUAGUGAAACAGCACCACGGAGUGGAUAACAUAUCAAGCUUAACUUUAAUCUGAUCAUCAUCUGACACGGUUUCGAUCAAAAUAUUCUAGUUCGAGCUGCACAUACAUCAUGCGAGGGUGUCUGCGAGCCUGGUUAAAAUACCGUCAUUGCUGGACCAGAAGACCGGCAAGGCCUCAAAGAAAAUGCCACGUCUGCUCACUGCGAAGCAGGCUGCUAUAGUUGAAGUAAGCUUCGCGUCACAUGUAGUCGAACGUUGUUGCUAGUCAAAGGAAAGCUUUUGAUUUUGUAAUGUUCAAUUUUGCUGUUUGUGUUUCAGGUGAAGCUGGACAAGGAAGUGUGCGUGGAAGAAUUCUCGACUCUGAAGGCGCUUGGGCGGGUGUUCCUGCGGUCUCGAGGCAACACCGUUGCGGUGGGCGUUGUGACUCGAAUUCUGGAUCAGGCUUAGAUCCCUCGACUAACCAGACAUGUCGUGUACACGGUGUAUAUCUAUCUCAUGUUACCAGUUGCUAGUCAAUAGAUCUGUGUACGCGCGGCUGUACUAACCGUAGCCGAUGGCACUAACCUAAAAGUCAGAAGAUUUAUGGCUCGAUUCUUCAGUUGUCUCGAAUGACGCUGGGCAAUGGUUGUCAGCCCAGAGCCCACCCGUUUUCUCAAGGUUUGGGUUUCUACACGCAGUCAACUUGUUUAGCCGGCAGCAGCUCCCAUGGCUUUGCCGUACCAUGGCCGUAUGGUAUGGUAUGGCGGCCAUGUGACUACGAUAAUCGAUAAGGUUUUGGCGUCGAACUCCACGCGGCCGCCUGCCUGCCUCCUCGUACGCGGUUGCUCCCGUUGGCCGUUGCGCGCUGCCCGUACCGCGUCGCCUGCGCUCGGCGUUCGUGCCCUCACCCGCCCCGCUCCCCCCCCAUAAAUUGUCGCGGAGAAUUUAAGAACGUCACGCGCGGGGGAGCCAGGUGAGGCGCCCCGCGCCGGAUGGAUCCUUGGUGACCUGGUCUGUCUCAUGGAUGGCCACCACCAUCGCCGCCGGGACCGGGAUGGGACCGCGCCCCCGCGGCGGUUGCCGGCUUCGCCUUUCGGCGGUCGGCGCCCCUGCCUGUCCUGUGCCCUCCGAGCCCGGACGCUCCCGUGCGCGCGUCCUCUGCCUCCCCGGCACCCGUUCCCCUCGGUGUAAAAACCGCCAAAUCAGGCGCCGGCUCUGUCCCGUACAAAAGCAAAGCUAGCGGUAGGUGUGGGUGUGCCGCGCAGGAGGAUCGCCUCGCCGGUCAAAGGCGUCGGGAACAGAACAGAAUCCUCUUCGCCGCUCGUGCGACCGCACCGUGGCGAGGCGACCGGUGGCGCGUCGGUUUCAUGGAAUCCGAUGCGCCGCGAGAGCCCCGGGGGUGCCGUCGCCGGGCUCUGCUGGAGUGCUGGUUGCUUCUUGUACUAGCGCCCCCGCCCCCCCGGUCGUUCGCUUGUUGCCAUCCGGCGUCGCUGCUAUCCUGCAACUGCUCCUCACUGCUGCUCGUUUUCAAAGGACGCACCGACACGCGCGCGUGCUCCAUCGGUGAACACACACUACGCCCAAGUACCACGGACUGCGAGCGACCGGACCUGGCUUCUUGCCUUGGCUCCACGCCCAACACGGCGCACAACACUGUGACGUACUCCUUCCCAACGACCAGGGCUGCCUUCUUCUAUCGUCUGGUGCAGAGGUACGGUAGUCGGUAGGGCAUUGUGCUCAACUUCUGAUAGCAUGCAUGUGUGCAAUCGUGAGUUGCGAUUUCUGCCGGAUUAGCGGCUACCCUGGCCAGCGCAGCGAUUUGUGUUUGGGAUAUACCAUCCAUCACAUGGGCGAUUGGGAGCGGGCCCGGGCGUCGCCGCCGGACAGGGCUGACACGCAUGUGGCGGCUGCGUGCAUUAUGCAGCAGCUCCACCUGUUAAAGGAUAGAUGAUGGCAUGAAGGCAUCAUUCAUGGAUCCGGAUGGGCCCCUCUCGCCCCCCCCUGCAAAUCCAAUGCAAUGUUCCUCCCUUCUCCGGAGACGACGAUGCCUCAUCCUCCUCUGCUGAUAUUUUACGUGCAACUGCUGCAGCUGGUUGCGUUUAGCAAGCUGCUGCUGCUCAUGUUCUGAAUUCUCUACUCCGACGCCCGGUUGCCUUUCCUUUUCGAGCUCGAGGGUCGUGACCAAAGAUUGUGGCUCGCUGCUGCAGCUCCGGCGGCAGGAUAUCUCCGUGUGUUCGUUGAGGUCGUUGUACUUGCUGGUCGUCGGACCUGCCUUUUUCUGAAGCGAACGCGAAGCUCUUCUCGAAAGCAGGAAUGCUGCGUACGCGUAAGUAUGUUGGACGGAGACGCUUUUGUCCCUGUACUGUUAUGUCAGGCACGCAGUCGGUGUGACAGCGUCUAGGCCACCAGACAUCCACAUCGAGCAUUCAAGCUCACAUAUGACACAUCAAAUUGAAUAGAGACCCGUGCACCUUUACAAGCACGUUGCUCACUUGCUCUAGCUAAAAAUCUUAGCAAGGCAACGCUAUACAUCUCUCGGCCUGAAUAGUUUUGACGCGAAAGCAAAUGUGCAUCUACUAACUAGGUGAAUACUCCUUCCGUUCCAAAUUAUAGGUCGUUUUAAUUUUUCUAGAUUCGUAAAUAUUAUUAUGCACCUAGACAUACACUAUGGGGGUGUUUGGAAGGAGGAGGCUAAACUUUAGCCCUGUCACGUAGGAUGGUCGNNNNNNNNNNNNNNNNNNNNNNNNNNNNNNNNNNNNNNNNNNNNNNNNNNNNNNNNNNNNNNNNNNNNNNNNNNNNNNNNNNNNNNNNNNNNNNNNNNNNNNNNNNNNNNNNNNNNNNNNNNNNNNNNNNNNNNNNNNNNNNNNNNNNNNNNNNNNNNNNNNNNNNNNNNNNNNNNNNNNNNNNNNNNNNNNNNNNNNNNNNNNNNNNNNNNNNNNNNNNNNNNNNNNNNNNNNNNNNNNNNNNNNNNNNNNNNNNNNNNNNNNNNNNNNNNNNNNNNNNNNNNNNNNNNNNNNNNNNNNNNNNNNNNNNNNNNNNNNNNNNNNNNNNNNNNNNNNNNNNNNNNNNNNNNNNNNNNNNNNNNNNNNNNNNNNNNNNNNNNNNNNNNNNNNNNNNNNNNNNNNNNNNNNNNNNNNNNNNNNNNNNNNNNNNNNNNNNNNNNNNNNNNNNNNNNNNNNNNNNNGUUCGGAUACUAAUUAGGAGGACUAAACAUAAGCUAAUUACAAAACUAAUUGCAGAACCCCUAGGCUAAAUCGCGAGACGAAUCUAUUGAGCCUAAUUAAUCCAUCAUUAGUGAAUGGUUACUGUAGCACCACAUUGUCAAAUCAUGCACUAAUUAGGCUUAAUAGAUUCGUCUCGCGAUUUAGCCUAGGGGUUGUGUAAUUAGUUUUGUAAUUAAUCUAGGUUUAAUACUCCUAAUUAGUGUCCAAACAUUCGAUGUGACGGGGGCUAAAAUUUAGCCCCCUCCUUCCAAACACCCCCUAUAUCUAGAUGCAUAAUAGUAUCUCUGAACUAAAAAAGCUAAAAAAAACUGCAAUUUGGAAUAGAGGGAGUAGUGAUAAACUCUCGGAUUAAUUCAGACGUUGACGAUUUGCAACCUCACAACUGUGUGCUACUGCUGCAUCAAAUGCAGCGUGAGGUAAACAAGUACAUGAUCUGCCGAGAUUCCACCUGUAGCCUACACCCAUUCUGGCUAAGCAAUGUUGUGGGCACAGUGUGGCAUGGCAUGUGUGGAUUCGGCGCGCGGCGGAACAGGGGGGAGGAUUGGACCCGGCCGGAACGGAGUGGGUGUCGACUUGGAGUUGAGGGGCAACCAACCGGAUGAAACGAGGCUGGGCUCCCGGAUGGAUGGACCCAUCUCAACGCACCAUCUCUCCUCCUUGCUCCUACAACACAGCAGUAGUGGUCCGACCAUGAUCCGUGUAUACGAACGCACCCGUCGUCUACGCGGUCUUCUCUUCCACACGGCUAGCCAGUUCCACCUUCCCUUCGUCGCUCAUUUUCUCCCUUCUUAAAAAGACAGCAAGGAAUGCGCUGCUGAACAAUGCAUUACUCUGGCAGCAUAUGCUUCUUUAGUCCCUGCCACGUUUUGCUGGUCCGAAGGGGAUUAUGGAAAUUGGCUACAAUUUGGUAUAUAAUAUAAACAUGAAGGAGGUACUCCCUCUGCCCGUUCUAUAAUAUAAGGCAUCCAAGCAUUUAAAAUUUAUCCUCAAAUAUAAGACAUUGUAGACAUAUUUGAAUGAUUGCCAUUUGAUUCCUUCUAUAAUUAAAAUGGUGGCUGAUUGGUUGAUUAUUACUUUAAGUCUUAAAAGUUCCUUACUAUCUGCAACUACUGUUAACUCAGAAGUAUAUACAUCUUUUACUAAUCUUGCUAAUAUAUUCUAAAAUCUCUAGGAUACUUUGUAUUUCAGGACGGAGGGAGUAAGAGUCGUCGGAACUUCCAAACAUUUCAUCCACGGCUCUCCUGCUUUCUUCUACCUCUUUUGAUUUUCUUUCUUCAUCGAUGGUGUGGGAGUAGUGCCAAUAUGACCUGCCAGCUACAAAUCCUGCUGAAUCCGCAAUCUUAAUCUUGAAAUCCCCAAAGUCCUACCAAAUUUGCUGAAGAUGGUGGAGAUGGGAGAGAGAAAAUUUAGUUGUGGGAAUAGGAAGAAUGGCGUAGCAUACUAUAAUAUAGCAAAUUCCUUGAAAAAGUUGUGCAAGCAAAUAAGAGCAAAAUUAUGUCACGUAGCGAUUUCCAUUUUUUAGCGAAUAAAAAGGAGAGGAGACGGGCCAACAGACAAUUUCAUCGGAUCUUUCAUUCCGAGCUCGUCCGAUCCCAUUUCCCUCGACAAGCCAACUGAACUACUGCUAAUCAUGAAGCCACCAAGCUGGCCUUAUUUAAUAAUUAGCCAUCACAGCUUGUGCUAAAGUUAAAACAUCUCUGUUCUUUUCCUACGUCGUCGGUGCACUUGGAAAUUCAUUACAACCAUGGUUAACUUUUUGAGAUAUCCAUUCUCCUCCACUCCACUCAACGGAUUGGGAGGAGAAACCUCUGUUUACGCUUCACCCUACACUUGCAGUGCACAGCGAAAAAUGAUGACGCAGCCUUUGAAAACAAACUGGCCAUGGCACCCGUGAGCCGUGAAAAUGAAGGAACCACCAUUGUGAACCCCUGCCCAGCACAAUGAGUUGAACCAAGUGCUGGACAUUUGUCACCCAACCCAACUGAUCACUCCUUACCUUGUUUGCUUAGACAUUGAGACGUCAUUACCUAGUUGUUGAUGAUGGUGUGUGUAGUCUUAGCGUGCAAAUAACCCAAGAAACAACUCAUCGCCGAGUGUUUAGCAACAUAACAUUCCAAACGAACGAACCCUGGGCACGAGCUCGUGUUAGCAAAAUGCUUGCCUUGAGAGCUAGCCCUGUUUGAGCUCCGGAGCUGAGGUGAGAAGACAAGAUCCAGCUCCAUCCCCACUGCCCAACGCCUCGCCCCCAUUUUUAGGGGGUGUUUGGGAGGAGUGGGCUAAACUUUAGCCCUGUCAUAUCGGAUGUUCGGAUACUCAUUAGGAGGACUAAACAUAAGCUAAUUACAAAACUAAUUGCAGAACCCCUAGGCUAAAUCGCGAGACGAAUCUAUUAAGCCUAAUUAAUCCAUCAUUAGAGAAUGUUUUUUGUUGGUCCACAGUACAGCAAAANNNNNNNNNNNNNNNNNNNNNNNNNNNNNNNNNNNNNNNNNNNNNNNNNNNNNNNNNNNNNNNNNNNNNNNNNNNNNNNNNNNNNNNNNNNNNNNNNNNNUGGUUACUGUAGCACCACAUUGUCAAUCAUGACCUAAUUAGGCUUAAUAGAUUCGUCUCGCGAUUUAGCCUAGGGGUUGUGUAAUUAAUUUUGUAAUUAGUCUAGAUUUAAUACUCCUAAUUAGUGUCCAAACAUUCGAUAGGAUGGGGGCUAAAAUUUAGCCCCCUCCUCCCAAACACCCCCUUAGGGCCUGUUUGGUAGGGCUUAUUGGACGGCUUCUCGAGCGGCUUCUGGAGAAGCCGUACCAAACGCCCUUCCAAAAAACGGCUUCUCUCGCGAAGCACCCGUGAAGCCGUUUUCCAAUUUGUACUGGGGAGGAGAAGCCCAAAAAACCAGCUCCCCGCGGCUUCCCCUCCAUCCGCGCCCCCCAUGUUACCAAAUUACCCUUCGACUUCGGCAAAAUUACACCGAAUUGCCACCGCCUCCUUUUCCUUUCUUCCUCUCGCGAACCGUUCCUUUCUCUUCUUCUGGUAGCGCCUCCUCCGGUCUGGUCUGGCGGCGGCCGGCAUGGACCCUCCUCCGGCGGCGGGAAACUUGGAUCCGGCGGUCGAAAGGGGUAGAUCCGGUGGUGGGCUCCAAGAUGCGCCAAGCGGAGGGUCCAACGGCGCGCCGUAUGUGUCCGGCGGAGGGGCUGGCGGCGCCCCGUUCUUGUGGCCGGGAGGCCCGCCGACGGGUCCCCUGGGUGCCCUCCUGGCCGCCGCGGGAGUGCCUCCCGGCAUGGUGGCGGGCGCAUGGCCUGGAGGCGCAGCAACCGCGGCGGGCCAGCCACCGGCGCAGCAACCGGCCAUCCCAGCCGCGGCGGGCCUGGCCGCCGGCGCGUGGCCCGGCAUCCCCGGCGCAUGGCCCGGCGUCCCCAGCGCGGGGCCAUCAGCUUCCCAGGCCUCCGGCAUCCCCAACGCCGCCAUGCCCGGAGGAUGGCCGGAGUGGUGGGCCGGAGCAGCGGCGGCGGCUCUAGGGCCGGAUUGGCUCCGUGCCGAUCCUCAACAGGAGACAGCUUCACAGGAGGUUGGAGGCAAUGACGAGCGGCUGCCGGUUCGGGUCACCUCUGGUCCAGUUCGGAGCUCCUCAACUCGUCGGCGAGGUACCCGCGCACCUAGGCCACCACCGGCGGCUAGGACAGCUACUGCUCCUGCAUCUGUGGACGUCGACCUCACCGAUCCAAGGUAAGAACAUAUGAUCCAAUUAAAGUGAUUUCCUUGUUUGAGCCAUUGUGAUUGCUGUUGUGAUUGUUGAAGCCAUUGUGAUUGCUGUUGUGUUUGAGCUCAAGCCAUUGUCUUGCUGUUGUCCUUAGAAAGAAGAACAUGCGUGACGCAUUUGCUAUCUGGGACAUUUUGUUGUGAACUGUGGUGUGUAUUUGGAUUUUUAAAGUUUUGCUUGCUAUCUGGGGUGCCAGGCAUGCAUCAGCUGCUGGCCAUUGCCUUGCAUGGUCAUGAAAUGUGUUUUCUUUAGGGAACUGCAUGCCCAUUCUUGGAUUCAGCAUCCUUCAGUCCUUGUGGUAUAUUAUUAUCCUUCAGUCAUAUGCCCUAAGCAAUAUGCAUGUAGCUAGAUAACAAGAUACACUAGAGUGACAGGCGACAUGCCAAUCUUCUGUGUGACCACUUUCACUCAUUUGCAUCCUGGUUUAAUAAAUGUCUAAGAGUCAAAAAUGGCUCCUCGCAAAUGUUCCAUAUAUGAUAUAUCAUAUAUGUAUAUUACUUCAUAUCAUAGCAUAUUAGUAGAUCAUUAGCAUAUCGCAAUGUUUCAUAUCAUUGCUUUUGCAGACAGCAAUGUAGUAGUACCUGUGCAUUGUUAUUUCCCAGCUAAUUGAAGGUGCGUGGUACGGUGUCUAUCAUCCACUCUUAUGUUGAAGGUGCGUGGCUUGUCGUGGGGUUUGAGAGCCAGAGAAGUUCUAGUCAGAAGUUGAAGACUUGUUCCCCAUCAGGAGUAGGGGAAGUAGGGGAAUGUGCCUUCUCAAUGUUCAGUUUCAUGACUUCUCUGCUGUUUUGAUGUAUUUUUCAAUCCAAGUGAUAAAUUUUUUAUCUGUACUCAUGGAUGAAGCGGGAAAUGAUUUUGACGAAAAUCUUUCCAAGGUUGCAUGAUUGUUUUGUUCUUAAGUGGUUUCUGCAUUCUUGGGCCAAAUGUUACAGAUUGAUUCUGGAGGUUUGAUCCUGAUAAGACUUAUCCAAGACUAAACAAAUUUCUUAUGCAAAGAAAUAGUAGUUCAGCCAUAUUUAUUUUCUUUUGUACACAUUUUUUUUCACUUUCAUGGUUAUCUCACUUGCAUUUCUUUAUACUUACUGUUAUACAAUUUCAGUCUCAAAUUUGAUUGGUAGUUGUCAUUCUUUUACUGGUGACAGACCAUCAUAUGACCUGCAAUCCUAGGACUUUAGGUAACCUGAUGUGUCGGUCACCACUAUGGUCCAGUAACUUGUUCAUCUUAAGCUAAACACUCCAGGUGAAAGUCAUAAGCAAUUCCGAAUGAAUGCAUCUCUAUUUUACAAGUUGCAUGAUCUGUUAGUGGGUAGCUAUGGACUAAAAUCAUCUCUUCAUAUGAGUUCUAUGGAAUCAUUGGCUAUUUUCCUACUUGUGUGUGGGCAUGGUACUUCUACCAGUGGUGUACAUGGUAUAUUCAAGCACUCCGCAGAAACAAUUAGUAGAAAAUUUGAGGAGGUAUUGAUAUGUAUGGUGGCUAUGAGUGCAGACUACAUAAAGCCAAUUGACCCUAAUUUCUCUACUACACAUCCUAGGAUUAGUAAUGAUCGUAGGAUGAUGCCACACUUUAAAGAUUGCAUUGGAGCUUUGGAUGGCACUCACAUUUCAGCGACACAAAAUGUUCUUGGUAUUGUUGAUUUCGACAUGAGGUUCACUUAUGCAUCUAUUGGUCAGCCCGGGUCUAUGCAUGAUACUAAUGUUCUCUUCCAUGCACUUCGACAUGAUCACUCUACCUUUCCACACCCCCCUCUAGGUAUGUCGGAUCACCUACCUUAUCUUUUCUCAUGUCUAUACAUGAAUGCGCGUGGCUCACAACCUUCAUUUUUUUACAUGUGUAUUUAGGAAAGUAUUAUAUGGUUGAUGCCGGGUACCCAAAUAGACCUGGAUACUUGGCACCAUACAAGGGUGAAAGGUAUCAUGUGCCAGAUUGGAGGAGAGGUCCUGCUCCAAAUGGUGAGCAAGAACAUUUUAACCAUUUGCAUUCAAGUAUUCGCAAUGUGGUAGAGCGCUCUUUUGGUGUGUGGAAAAUGAAGUGGAGAAUCCUUCUCAAGAUGCCGAGUUACCCAAUGGAGAAGCAAAUGAUGAUAGUUGCCGCAACCAUGUGUCUCCAUAACUUCAUUCGUGAAAACCACACACAAGAUAAGGAUUUCCGCAAAUGCGAUCGGAAUCCCGAUUAUAUGCCCACUAUACCUUCAAGAUAUAGGAAGCACUAUGUCUCUCAAGAUGCUGGAGAUACAUCCAACAUGGAAACAGAUGAUCGGACCAUGGAUAAAUUCCGAGAUGAUCUUGCUAGAGCAAUCUUCCUUUCUAGAUCAUCUUGAGUAUGUCAGUUAGCUUAUAUGGUUGCAUGCUAUGUAAGGAUGGUAGCUAUUAUUUAUGAACCGUGAUGAAUUCAAAUAUUAAAAAAAAAUCAGCUGAAUUUUUUUGAGAGAAAUACAGGAGUAGCAAUUA